rnacentral:rRNA from 1 species
GUUGAACGCUGGCGGCAUGCUUUACACAUGCAAGUCGAACGGUAACAGGCCGCAAGGUGCUGACGAGUGGCGAACGGGUGAGUAGUGCAUCGGAACGUGCCCAGUCGUGGGGGAUAACGCAGCGAAAGCUGCGCUAAUACCGCAUACGAUCUAUGGAUGAAAGCGGGGGACCGUAAGGCCUCGCGCGAUUGGAGCGGCCGAUGUCAGAUUAGGUAGUUGGUGGGGUAAGGGCUCACCAAGCCAACGAUCUGUAGCUGGUCUGAGAGGACGACCAGCCACACUGGGACUGAGACACGGCCCAGACUCCUACGGGAGGCAGCAGUGGGGAAUUUUGGACAAUGGGCGCAAGCCUGAUCCAGCAAUGCCGCGUGCAGGAAGAAGGCCUUCGGGUUGUAAACUGCUUUUGUACGGAACGAAAAGGCUCUGGAUAAUACCUGGGGCUCAUGACGGUACCGUAAGAAUAAGCACCGGCUAACUACGUGCCAGCCGCCGCCGUAAUAC